rnacentral:rRNA from 1 species
GACGAACGCUGGCGGCGUGCUUAACACAUGCAAGUCGAACGAUGAAGCUGGAGCUUGCUCCGGUGGAUUAGUGGCGAACGGGUGAGUAACACGUGAGCAAUCUGCCCUUGACUCUGGGAUAACUGCGGGAAACUGUAGCUAAUACCGGAUACGAGGCUCGAAGGCAUCUUCGGGUCUGGAAAGAAUUUCGGUCAAGGAUGAGCUCGCGGCCUAUCAGCUUGUUGGUGAGGUAAUGGCUCACCAAGGCGACGACGGGUAGCCGGCCUGAGAGGGUGACCGGCCACACUGGGACUGGGACGCUGCCCAGACUCCGACGGGAGGCAGCAGUGGGGAAUAUUGCGCAAUGGGCGAAAGCCUGAUGCAGCAACGCCGCGUGAGGGAUGAAGGGCUUCGGGUUGUAGACCUCUUUUAGCAGGGAAGAAGCGAAAGUGACGGUACCUGCAGAAAAAGCACCGGCUAACUACGUGCCAGCAGCCGCCGUAA